UAGAGUUUGAUCCUGGCUCACGAUGAACGCUAGCGGGAGGCCUAAUACAUGCAAGUCGAGCGGUAGAACUAGCUUCGGUUGGUUUGAGAGCGGCGCACGGGUGAGUAACGCGUACGUAACCUGCCCUUCAGUGGGGAAUAGCCCCGGGAAACUGGGAUUAAUGCCCCCUGGUACUUUCGAUCUGCCUGGAUUGAAAGUUAAAGCUUCGGCGCUGAAGGAUGGACGUGCGUCGGAUUAGCUGGUUGGUGAGGUAACCGCUCACCAAGGCGACGAUCAGUAGGGGGCGUGAGAGCGUGACCCCCCACACGGGUACUGAGACACGGACCCGACUCCUACGGGAGGCAGCAGUAAGGAAUAUUGGGCAAUGGAGGCAACUCUGACCCAGCCAUCCCGCGUGCAGGAAGACGGCCCUACGGGUUGUAAACUGCUUUUAUGAAGGAAGAAAGGUUGGCAUUUAUGCUGAUUUGACGGUACUUCACGAAUAAACACCGGCUAACUCCGUGUCAGCAGCCGCGGGAAUACGGAGGGUGCGAGCGUUAUCCGGAAUCACUGGGUUUAAAGGGUGCGUAGGCGGCCUGAUGAGUCAGAGGUGAAAGUCUGCGGCUUAACCGUAGAAUUGCCUUUGAUACUGUUGGGCUUGAGUCAGGUUGAGGUUGGCGGAGUGUGACCUGUAGCGGUGAAAUGCAUAUAUAUGUCAUAGAACACCGAUUGCGAAAGCACCUGACUGGACCUGAACUGACGCUGAGGCACCAAAGCGUGGGGAGCCAACAGGAUUAUAUACCCUGGUAG
rnacentral:rRNA from 1 species